rnacentral:lncRNA from 1 species
UUUCACUGUUUUUUCAUUGUUUUUAUUAUUUUCAUUGUUUUCAAUUGUUUUUAUUAUUUUUAUUGUUUGUCUUUAUUGUGUUUUUUUAUUGUUUUUUAUAGUUUUCAUUGUUUUAUUGCUUUGAUUCUUCUUAUUAUUUAUUGUUUUCAUUAUUUUUAUUGUUUCUAUCAUUUUUCGUUGUUUUUCUUAAUUUUCAUUGCUUUUAUUAUUUUUUUAUUGGUUUUAUUGUUUUAUUUUUUAUUAUUUUUAUUGCACUCAGCCCCGCCCCCAAUCGCCCCUCCCCCAUCCGCAGUGGGCGGGGCCAAACGCGGAGGGGGCGGGGCCCGGAGCGGGUAAUUAACAUUUAAUUUAACUAAAGGCACCGAGGCCACGCCCCCGCGGGAAUUCCGGGGGCGGGGAUUUAAAGAAUCCUCUGGAAGGUUCCGGAACUUCCGGGUCAGGAAUCGGCCAAACGCAGCAGGGGCCCGGCGGGCGUGGGGACACUGAGCAGUCUCUGGUCCCCCAGCAGGUCGUGCAGCAGGAACGGGACCCCCAGCCCGGCCCCCGGGGGGGUCACACAGGGGUCACACAGGGGUCACUCAGGGGUCAGGGGUCACACAGGGGUCACACAGGGGUCACUCAGGGGUCACUCAGGGGUCAGAGGGGACACACAGGGAGGUCAGGGGUCACUCAGGGGUCACUCAGAGGUCACUCAGAGGUCAGAGGGGUCACUCAGUGUCACUCAGGGGUCAGAGGGGACACACAGGGAGGUCAGGGGUCACCCAGGGGCAACU